AGUGAACGCUGGCGGUAGGCCUAACACAUGCAAGUCGAACGGCAGCACAGUAAGAGCUUGCUCUUACGGGUGGCGAGUGGCGGACGGGUGAGGAAUACAUCGGAAUCUACUUUUUCGUGGGGGAUAACGUAGGGAAACUUACGCUAAUACCGCAUACGACCUACGGGUGAAAGCAGGGGAUCUUCGGACCUUGCGCGAUUGAAUGAGCCGAUGUCGGAUUAGCUAGUUGGCGGGGUAAAGGCCCACCAAGGCGACGAUCCGUAGCUGGUCUGAGAGGAUGAUCAGCCACACUGGAACUGAGACACGGUCCAGACUCCUACGGGAGGCAGCAGUGGGGAAUAUUGGACAAAGGGCGCAAGCCUGAUCCAGCCAUACCGCGUGGGUGAAGAAGGCCUUCGGGUUAUAAAGCCCUUUUGUUGGGAAAGAAAAGCAGCAGGUUAAUACCCCGCUGUUCUGACGGUACCCAAAGAAUAAGCACCGGCUAACUUCAUG
rnacentral:rRNA from 1 species